GCGGGGGUGAGCAUGCGCACCGGGGAGACGGCGCUCGCUCGUGCCGGGGCCGCCCCUGCGAGCCCACAGCGCCGCCUGGGGACCGGAGGCCGUCGGCCCACGGCCGGGCCUGGGUACUGAACCAGAGCGGCACGCCCACUGCUCCGCUGCCGGACGAGGUUGGGAGUCGCUUGAGGCGCGAGCUUCCAGCGCCUAGUUAACAGGCUGAGUCCGCGGCGGGUCGGAGAGCGGCCACGUGCGGUGGCGUGCAGAGUCGCAAGCAUGCCUUCCCGCCCACCUGCCCACGCUGGGCUUGGGUGUCAGUGCUUGUCUCCAUAUAGAUAGUCACUUCUUGAAAGCCGCAGCCGCCAUCAAGAUAAUCUAAAUACGACCACAGCCUAACUACAUACACAAGGGAAACUUUCAUAAUGUCCAGAGCCCUUGAUGUCCUGUAAAUGAAGGAGGAGGAGGGUGUCCUCAAAUUCCUUGCGGCAGGAACCCACUUAGGUGGCGCCAACCUUGACUUCCAGAUGGAACUACAUCUAUAAAAGGAAAUGUGAUGGCAUCUGAAGAGAACGUGGGAGAAGCUUCUGCUGGCAGCUUGUGCCAUUGUUGCCGUUGAAAACGGCUCCCGUCAGUGUCCUAUCACCCAGGAAUCCUGGCCAGCGAGCUGGGCUGAAGUUUGCGGCUGCUACUGGAGCCGGUCCCACUGCCGGCCACUUCACUCCUGGAACCUUCACUAACCGGAUCCAGGCAGCCGUCCGGAAGCCGAGACUUGGGGUGGUUAGGAUCCCAGGGCUGACCACCACCCUCCCACAGAGGCGUCUUCUGGUAACCCCCCUGCCAUCACUCUGUGUAACACAAACUCUCCUCUGCGCCGUGUGGACAUUGCCGCGCCUUGCAACAACAAGGGAGCUCGCUCAGUGGGUCUGACGUGGUGGUCGCUGGUCCAGGAAGUUCUGCACGUGCGUGACGCCAUUUCCCGUGAACACCCAUGGGAGGUCACGCCUGAUCUCUGCUUCUACAGAGAACCUGAAGAGGUUGAAAAGGAAAAGGCUGUGAGCAAGGAGGAAUUGCAGGGUGGACGGACUGCUCCAGCUCCAGUGAGGUCACCGCUACUCAACCUCAAGUCGCAGACUGGUCUGCAGGCGCAGCAGGUGCCCUCUGUGCCUGUUCAGCAGUUCCCUCCUGAAGCCUGGCGCUCUCAGCCUGCCGUGCGGACCGGUGUGCAGCUCCCACUGUUCCGGGCACUGAGUUGGGAGGAACAACCCCGGAGUGGUCUUAAGCUGCCCCUCCACAAAGGCAAACAAAAUGGCAAUAAGGUUAACAGAAGUGAACAGUUUCAAGAUAGAUAGAUAGAUAAAUAAAUAAAUAAAUAAAUAAAUAAAUAAAUAGCACUUGCAAUGCACUAAGCAAAUGUUAAGCACUAGGGAUAUAACUGUGAACAAGACAGAUUUAAUAUUUGUUUCUGAAGCUCAUGUACAUGAGUCCCCUGCUUUUCAAAAGUUCACGUUACACCACUUCUCUUUAUGAAAGACCGAUGUUAGUACUUGUUUUUGACGACCAAAAGAAAUCCAAAAGAGGAUUUUCUCAAAAAGGCACGAAGCAAAAAUUGCGUUCAGCAUCUGUUUUGCAGUGAGUGGUUACAGAGGCAGUGUGCAUCCCAGGCCGCGAGAGUGACCCUGCCAAGCUCCUUCCCCUGGACCUUCCCCGGGAACUCGGCAUCUCAGCAUCAAGCUGCUUUAAACUGCGGCUGUGAGCAUCUGUGCUUUAUCUCAAUUUAUUUUGUACAUCUGUUGGCAAGACGGGUCCUAGGGUAUCAGAAAAGCCCAAGAAAGAUUAUUUUUUGGGUCUGAGAAUGCUAAAAACCUUUUCAUAUACAUUAAUGAUAAUUGUUUCUUUGCUCUCUGCCAUUUCUGCUUACAAAAGGUUUCAGAGGAACACCCUACUUUCCCAUAACAGGGGAAACCCGUACCUGGAAUAAAAGAUGAUAAACGAGUA